rnacentral:rRNA from 1 species
UACAGAGGGGGCAAGCGUUAUUCGGAAUUAUUGGGCGUAAAGGGCGCGUAGGCGGCUUGGCAAGUGGAUGGUGAAAUCCCUCGGCUUAACCGAGGAACUGCCGUCCAAACUGCUUUGCUUGAGACCGGGAGAGGUGAGUGGAAUUCCCAGUGUAGCGGUGAAAUGCGUAGAUAUUGGGAGGAACACCAGUGGCGAAGGCGGCUCACUGGACCGGUACUGACGCUGAUGCGCGAAAAGCGUGGGGGAGCAAACGGGG